rnacentral:rRNA from 1 species
UAAGGAAUAUUGGUCAAUGGACGCAAGUCUGAACCAGCCAUGCCGCGUGGAGGAUGAAGGUCCUCUGGAUUGUAAACUUCUUUUAUCUGGGACGAAACACUCCUAUUCUUAGGGGCCUGACGGUACCAGAUGAAUAAGCACCGGCUAACUCCGUGCCAGCAGCCGCGGUAAUACGGAGGGUGCAAGCGUUAUCCGGAUUCACUGGGUUUAAAGGGUGCGUAGGUGGGUAUGUAAGUCAGUGGUGAAAUCCCCGAGCUUAACUUGGGAACUGCAGUUGAUACUAUAUAUCUUGAAUGUCGUAGAGGUAAGCGGAAUAUGUCAUGUAGCGGUGAAAUGCUUAGAGAUGGCAUAGAACACCAAUUGCGAAGGCAGCUUGCUAUGCGAUUAUUGACACUGAGGCACGAAAGCGUGGGUAGCAAACA